rnacentral:lncRNA from 1 species
CUCUGCCUGAAGCCAAACGCUGCUGAGCCCAGAGGCCUCUCCACUGCCCCAGCCCUCGUGCUCCGUGAGUGAGAAAGAAGUCUCUGUCCUGAGUCGUCGAGAUACUGGGUUUGCUUGUUUCAAGAGCAAAAUCUGACUGAGUAAUCAGGGUGAUGAUCAGGGGACACUGAGCUGGCUUCAAAGCAGCCCUUGCCCAGGUCAGGGAGGACUGUCCGGUAUGUGGUUUGUGACUCAGGUGGCACUAUUUCUCCUCCCGUUUCUGGGUGUGAGGGGUCAAGUAAUUACACAUGUCAUGCAUCUGUUGGGUGUUUUUUGUUUUUGUUGUUCAAAAUUCAGUUAGAAAAUGAUUGGCUGGGAGUAGAGGAAGAUGAAACUGAAAGUAAAAUUCCCAGCCUUUAAGAGAACACCCUGCAGGCAGGGGACAGAACACCUGACACAGCGGCUGUGGCUUCAGUAUGUCUGGGGUGCUAGCUGGGAUCCUGGCUGGGAGUGUGCUGAUCGCGUGCGCCUUGAUCUGUAUGUUCUGGGACAAUUUACCAUAUGGAACACAAAAGGAAUCGGCGUCCACCCACCAAGAGGACACUGAGUAUCACAGGAGAGACGAGUGGAUGUCAACGAGCAUGCAAGUGGCACCUCGUUUGCAUAGUGACACAAUGAGGUCUCGCGCUCUGUGUAACAGAAGCUAAAGAUUCCAGAGGUGUCUCUCAUGGGGACCAAAAGAAGGCCUAACCUUCUGGACCUCCAGGACCCUGGUUGUCCCUGCCGUGACGACCUAGGGAAAUGUCCCCACCUGAUCACAUAAUCGACUCCACGCUCCAGUGCAGCCUGCGCUCUGCACUCAGCCUGCUGGAUCGCGCUGCUCCUCUAGUCAACGGAAGAUGGGGAUUUGAGAUGGAUUUGAACAGAGAGGCCUGCCUAGGGCACGUGCAUCUGUGAGGGGCACCCAUGCCUGGGGCCUUGGGGGACACCCUCCCUGCGCUCCCCUGCACAUGAGCUCGUGGGUUGGAGGAACAAAUAUCUAGCCGCUUAACCCUAACUCUUCAGUCACUGCUGCAUUUAAUAAACACGAGUGAGCAUUUCAUGUGGUCAAAGCUCUCUCUGGCAGGAGGGGGACAAUGGUGAGGGUGACACAGUCCGUUCCCUCAAGGAAGUCC